rfam:Glycine soja cultivar W05 scaffold3836_4, whole genome shotgun sequence.
AAACACAAGCUGGAGCUCUCUCACUUCAAUUAUGAGCGGAUAUGAUGGGAAACCUCUGCUGCUAAUUCGUGGAUACCUCUGGUUCCGUAACAACAUACGUUCGAAGUCAAGGGUUUGCAUGAAUUGGGAGAUGAAGUUAUUACCUUGAUCUUUUUGUAUUUAAGUGAUGGGAGCUCCGGUGGGUAUCCUC